rnacentral:rRNA from 1 species
AUUGAACGCUGGCGGCAGGCCUAACGCAUGCAAGUCGAGCGGAUGAAGGGAGCUUGCUCCUGGAUUCAGCGGCGGACGGGUGAGUAAUGCCUAGGAAUCUGCCUGGUAGUGGGGGAUAACGUCCGGAAACGGGCGCUAAUACCGCAUACGUCCUGAGGGAGAAAGUGGGGGAUCUUCGGACCUCACGCUAUCAGAUGAGCCUAGGUCGGAUUAGCUAGUUGGUGGGGUAAAGGCCUACCAAGGCGACGAUCCGUAACUGGUCUGAGAGGAUGAUCAGUCACACUGGAACUGAGACACGGUCCAGACUCCUACGGGAGGCAGCAGUGGGGAAUAUUGGACAAUGGGCGAAAGCCUGAUCCAGCCAUGCCGCGUGUGUGAAGAAGGUCUUCGGAUUGUAAAGCACUUUAAGUUGGGAGGAAGGGCAGUAAGUUAAUACCUUGCUGUUUUGACGUUACCAACAGAAUAAGCACCGGCUAACUUCGU